CACAAGCUUUCCGUAGGUGAACCUGCGGAGGGAUCAUUACACAAAUAUGAAGGCGGGCUGGAACCUCUCGGGGUUACAGCCUUGCUGAAUUAUUCACCCUUGUCUUUUGCGUACUUCUUGUUUCCUUGGUGGGUUCGCCCACCACUAGGACAAACAUAAACCUUUUGUAAUUGCAAUCAGCGUCAGUAACAAAUUAAUAAUUACAACUUUCAACAACGGAUCUCUUGGUUCUGGCAUCGAUGAAGAACGCAGCGAAAUGCGAUAAGUAGUGUGAAUUGCAGAAUUCAGUGAAUCAUCGAAUCUUUGAACGCACAUUGCGCCCUUUGGUAUUCCAAAGGGCAUGCCUGUUCGAGCGUCAUUUGUACCCUCAAGCUUUGCUUGGUGUUGGGCGUCUUGUCUCUAGCUUUGCUGGAGACUCGCCUUAAAGUAAUUGGCAGCCGGCCUACUGGUUUCGGAGCGCAGCACAAGUCGCACUCUCUAUCAGCAAAGGUCUAGCAUCCAUUAAGCCUUUUUUUCAACUUUUGACCUCGGAUCAGGUAGGGAUACCCGCUGAACUUAAGCAUAUCAAUAAGCGGAGGAGGAUCCGUG
rnacentral:rRNA from 1 species